rnacentral:rRNA from 1 species
UACGGAAGGCAGCAGUGGGGAAUAUUGCACAAUGGGCGAAAGCCUGAUGCAGCUAUGCCGCGUGUAUGAAGAAGGCCUUAGGGUUGUAAAGUACUUUCAUCGGGGAGGAAAAAACAAAACUAAUAAUUUUAUUUCUUGACGUUACCCGAAAAAGAAGCACCGGCUAACUCCGUGCCAGCAGCCGCGGUAAUACGGAGGGUGCUAGCGUUAAUCAGAAUUACUGGGCGUAAAGAGCACGUAGGUGGUUUUUUUAAGUCAGAUGUGAAAUCCCUGGGCUUAACCUAGGAACUGCAUUUUGAAACUGAAAUACUAGAGUAUCGUAGAGGGAGGUAGAAUUCUAGGUGUAGCGGUGAAAUGCGUAGAUAUCUGGAGGAAUACCUGUGGCGAAAGCGGCCUCCUAAACGAAUACUGACACUGAGGUGCGAAAGCGUGGGGAGCAAACAGGGAUUAGAUACCUU